UCCGUAGGUGAACCUCGGAAGGAUCAUUA
rnacentral:rRNA from 1 species